GUGGGGAAUAUUGGACAAUGGGCGCAAGCCUGAUCCAGCCAUGCCGCGUGAGUGAUGAAGGCCUUAGGGUUGUAAAGCUCUUUCACCGAUGAAGAUAAUGACGGUAGUCGGAGAAGAAGCCCCGGCUAACUUCGUGCCAGCAGCCGCGGUAAUACGAAGGGGGCUAGCGUUGUUCGGAUUUACUGGGCGUAAAGCGCACGUAGGCGGUUUGUUAAGUCAGAGGUGAAAUCCCGGAGCUCAACUCCGGAACUGCCUUUGAUACUGGCAAGCUAGAGUCCGGAAGAGGUAAGUGGAACUCCUAGUGUAGAGGUGGAAUUCGUAGAUAUUAGGAAGAACACCAGUGGCGAAGGCGGCUUACUGGUCCGGAACUGACGCUGAGGUGCGAAAGCGUGGGGAGCAAACAGGAUUAGAAACCCGAGUAGUCC
rnacentral:rRNA from 1 species